CACGUAGUUAGCCGGUGCUUCUUCUGCAGGUACCGUCACAAAAAAGCUUCGUCCCUGCUGAAAGCGGUUUACAACCCGAAGGCCGUCAUCCCGCACGCGGCGUUGCUGCAUCAGGCUUGCGCCCAUUGUGCAAUAUUCCCCACUGCUGCCUCCCGUAGGAGUCUGGGCCGUAUCUCAGUCCCAAUGUGGCCGGUCACCCUCUCAGGCCGGCUACCCGUCGCCGCCUUGGUAGGCCACUACCCCACCAACAAGCUGAUAGGCCGCGAGUCCAUCCACAACCGCCGGAGCUUUCCAACCCCCACCAUGCAGCAGGAGCACAUAUCCAGUAUUAGCACCAGUUUCCUAGCGUUAUCCCAAAGUUGUGGGCAGGUUACUCACGUGUUACUCACCGUUCGCCACUCGUCGUACCCCGAAAGGCCUUACCGUACGACUUGCAUGUGUUAAGCACGCCGCCAGCGUUCGUCCUGUACGCCGAGGAUACAAACUCU
rnacentral:rRNA from 1 species